rnacentral:rRNA from 1 species
UACGUAGGGUGCAGGCGUUAAUCGGAAUUACUGGGCGUAAAGCGUGCGCAGGCGGUUUUCUAAGUCAGAUGUGAAAUCCCCGGGCUUAACCUGGGAACUGCGUUUGAAACUGGGAGGCUAGAGUGCGGCAGAGGGGGGUGGAAUUCCACGUGUAGCAGUGAAAUGCGUAGAGAUGUGGAGGAACACCGAUGGCGAAGGCAGCCCCCUGGGCCUGCACUGACGAUCAUGCACGAAAGAGUGGGGAGCAAACAGG